rnacentral:lncRNA from 1 species
GGGCCAUACCCGCAGCAUAUGGAGGUUCCCAGGCUAGGGGUCUAAUCCAAGCUGUAGCUGCCGGCCUACACCAGAGCCACAGCAACACGGGACCCAAGCUGCAUCUGCAACCUACACCACAGCCCAUGGUGAUGCCGGCUCCUUAAUCCGCUGAGCGAGGCCAGGGAUCGAACCCGCCACCUCAUGGUUUCUAGUCGGAUUUCUUAACCACCAAGCCACGGCGGGAACUCCGAGAGAUUUUAAUUUGAAGAAUGAAUACCAAUAUUUAAAGGAAAGGCAGAGGAGGAGGAGUCAGGGCAAAGAGAGGAGGAAUGGCUGGAGAGGAGGAUGCAAACCAGGAGGGUGUGGGUAUCAAGGUUGCCAAGGGAAGAGUGUGACAAGAAAGGCGUGUCCCAGUGUCAUGGGCUUUAGAAGACCAAGAGUGUGGCAGACUGACAUGGUCCUGGAAUUCUGCUGGCCCAGGGAAUACACAGAGGGAGUGAGUUAGAGGAGAAAUGCACAAUAAUAACAAUAAUGGAAAUAAUAAUAAUAAACCAUUACGUAUAUUAUGCAAAGAAACAUCUGUAACUUGGUUAUGGUGGGGGUUACUCGCCUCCAUGCAUUUGUCAAAACUCCGAAUUACAGGCCCAGAAGAGUCAACGUUACUGCAUAGAAAUUAAAAUUAAAUAAAUAGAAACCACGUAGUGUUGGUGAUUUAAGCUCCAACUUUCUCUCAGCCACUGACUUUAUAACUGCAGCACCGGCCCCUCGCAGGGUUUCAGUUCUGUUCAGCGCACGCAGGUCUGCAACAGGGAACAAGGGCACCCCACUCUCUGUCCUUGAGAAGGACAGAAUACAUGUGUCUGCAGCAGAGCCAGAGGGCGUGGGACUGAUGGCCAGAGCCCCUGUAAGGAACUGACAGGUGGAGGUGGGGCGUAGCCUGGAAAGCCUGGUUCCUCUGGGCUCCCCGAUGUAAGAUGAGGGGUUGGACCAGGAAAGGCCUUUCUGCCUCUGAUGGUCUGCGGGUCUCGUGUAAAAAUCCCACACAAAAUCCAAUUAGCUCUGUUUGGUAUUGAGAAUAGCCACAAUAAACAAUUACCGUAAUAACAACUGGCUCUUCCAUACACAGGACCCCAGAUGAUUCGGAAAGCAGUUUGGAGGGAGGGAAAAUGCUUGGGUUUAAAGUUUUAAAGUGCCUUCUAAAAAUCACAUGAAGUAAUGAUUGAUAAGGCACACAGCUCACAGCUCAUGUGGGCUUGCAAUCAAAAAGGGACUUUUCCAUGUGUUCAUUUCAAUCCCUCCCCUCCCUCUAUCAAGGAAGAAUGAUCCCAGUUUAGGAGACAGAUUAAUAAGAGUCUGGUCACUCAAGGCUUUGGCUGAUGUUGGGAUUUUCCAAAGAUUCCAUUUUCCCAAGAGCCACAGUGGAUUUGGUACAGUUUUGGCAUUGAGUGUAUUCCAUUGUGUCCUAAUCCAAUGAAAAUGAAUGGAAAAGUGUUAAUUGGGCAUCAAUUCAUGCUUAACAUUAAUCUGAGUAUUUGAUGAACCACAACUUUAUGUUGCCCCUCAUGCCAUAUUAACUCAAUUUAUUGUAAUGAUUUAAAACAAUAAGGAUAAUUACAUCCUUAUUGUUUUAAAUACCCCAUAAAUUGAAUCCAGCCUGAAUUUGGCCCGCCUGAAAUUUGCUGUUUAAAUGUGAGAUGUUUGGGGGAAGCUACAGAAACGUCUUUUUGGAGUUAUCAGUGCGGGAAAGGAUGAGAAGCAGCACUUUUUAAGCACCUACUGUGUACCAGGACCUGUGCUGCACCACUACUCCUAAGGUGGCCAGGGUGAGCGUAUUUGAAGCCUUCUGCCACCCUCAGCUACCUCCACAGAUGGUGGGGGGCUUGGUCUUAAUUUACAUUUCAUGCACUUCUCUACCUCAGCAUAGAAACAAUAAGACAUACAUAAAACGAAGGGGUUGAGAGGGGUUUCCUCAAAUAACCACCCUUCCCAGCCCUCCCGGAGGUGCUCCCAAACUAUUUCUCUUUAUACGCAAAAAUUUGAUUUGAACUCCAAUCAUUUGACCUUGACCCCUAUAAACCUAUUUUAUUAUAUUUUUUAAACUCCCUAUGAUUAACGCGGAAACCCUUUCUUCGGCAUUUUCUCACCACUGGAAUCGCGUCAGUUUCCUCAAAGUUCCAAAAUAACCUUUCCCGGGCACGGAUUUCGUACCUCUGCCAGGGAAGGGCGGGGAGCGGCGCAAGACGUGCCGGUUUGGAGCGAGAGCCAGAGAGAACUUCCAGCGCGAGAGGAAAAUAAAACUUGUGGCUGGCGUUGGUGCGGGAGGGUCUCCGCAAUCCUGAAGGCCCCCGACCUAGAGGGGUCUCGGGGGCCGCCCGAGGAGCGCCAGGGUCUGGGUUUGAUCCCGACGUCCUUGACCUAAAUUUCUGCGCGGUGGCUGGAAAAAGGGCGCAGAGCCGGGAGGGCGGCUGGUGCCAUCCCCGGAUCCCGGCGGCUGGGGCUGGGGAACUUGAAUGGAGAGGCCGACCUAGAAGGGGUGGGGGGCGUCUUCUCCCCAGCCCGAGUGCGGAGCGGUGGCCAGCUCCCCGCGCUUCCCCCUCCCCCGAUCCACCCU